GAUGAAGAACGUAGCGAAAUGCGAUAAGUAAUGUGAAUUGCAGAAUUCAGUGAAUCAUCGAAUCUUUGAACGCACAUUGCGCCCGCCAGUAUUCUGGCGGGCAUGCCUGUCCGAGCGUCAUUUCAACCCUCGAACCCCUCCGGGGGGUCGGCGUUGGGGAUCGGCCCUCCCUUAGCGGGUGGCCGUCUCCGAAAUACAGUGGCGGUCUCGCCGCAGCCUCUCCUGCGCAGUAGUUUGCACACUCGCAUCGGGAGCGCGGCGCGUCCACAGCCGUUAAACACCCAACUUCUGAAAUGUUGACCUCGGAUCAGGUAGGAAUACCCGCUGAACUUAAGCAUAUCAAUAAGCGGAGGA
rnacentral:misc_RNA from 1 species